GAAUUCUAAUCACUUACCACGCUUCCUUCUUCAAUACACCAUUUUUUUUUCUUAAACUCCAUUUUCUCUUCUUCAUCGGGUGUAGUUAAGAUUAAUUUCAUAUUGCAAAUCAAAACUAAACGCACACAUUUAACUUUUAGACCUACAAUCCUUCAAUUUCAUCCUUCUCCACAUUUUCAGAUCCCUAAUAUUUUUCACCAGGAAUUAAUUUUUAAAUCUGUAAAAACCGUUCUUAUUAAGCUUCAAUCCGUUAAUUCUAUUUGUGACUCUUCAACAGAACGUGUUUUGGACUUCACAAUUGACGCCGUCUCUAGGCCAGUGGCGGUGGUGAUAAUAGAUGUUCUAGUUUAGUUGGUGGCGAUGGCGGAGGACAUAGCGACUUGAAUUUCAAAUGAAUCACUGCAGUAUGUUACGUAACCACAUGCUAGCAGAUCCUUGAUUUCUUUCCAAAGUUGGAACUGAUCUGAAAGGCCGGGAUGUGAAUUCUCUGUAAAGCAGCAAACUGCUGCAUAAUUCUAUAAGAUGCCAAAUUCAUUUAGGUCUCAUCAGUCAACACAUGUACCAAACGCCUAAUUCUAUAGUUCACUUAUUAUUAUUAAGGUUACAUAUUAUAAAUUGAUUGAAGAUUUAUAGAUUGAAGAUUUAGAGGAGCAUAUCUUCAUCCUACCUUCAUGUUUCUAAUUUUUUUGUUAAUUUUUAGCUUUUGUACAAUUUGGGCAGUGCCACUGCCAUUGGUUAUGUAGUUCUUUUUAUUUGAAUAAUUUGUAACUUCAUUUAUUCUCUUAAAUGACAAUAUUUUUAUUA